rnacentral:rRNA from 1 species
UACGGAGGGUGCGAGCGUUGUCCGGAAUCACUGGGCGUAAAGGGCGCGUAGGUGGCGCAGUAAGUCAACGGUGAAAGUUCGGGGCUCAACCCUGAAUCGGCCGUCGAUACUCCUGGGCUCGAGCACUGUAGAGGCAGAUGGAAUUCCGGGUGGAGUGGUGAAAUGCGUAGAGAUCCGGAGGAACACCAAAGGCGAAGGCAGUGUCCUGGGGAGUACCUGACGCUCAGGUGCGAAAGCCAGGGGAGCGAACGGG